AUGAAUCACAGGGCUGAAAACAAACUUUCUUACCUUGAGCAGUCAAGGAGCGGCAGGCAGAGGAGCGGGGUUUUUAAUUUAGCUCCCUGGCACCUGUCCCCGCUCCCCCUGCUGAAGGACCCCGCGCAGCUCCACGGAGAGGUCAAAGGAGACAGGCGAGAAUCCAAGAAAAGGAGAAGCUGGAGCGGCGCGCGCGCGAGCAAACAGGGAGGCUUUCAGUGAGGCUCCCGCAACCGACGCCGAACGGAGACACAAGCACCGAAACCGUCCCCGGGGGCCGCGGGCCGAGGGCCGGGGGCCGGGAGCCGCGGCCUGGCAGUCGGCGGGGCCCCGAGACAGCGCGGGGGGAAGGGCCCGGGGCCCGGGGCCCGCCGAGGCCCGACGCGGUGACCGGGACGCCCUGGGCUCGCAGGCCUCCCGCCACCGCGUGGAGGCGCCCGGAGGGAGGCCCAGAGGAGGGGAGCGGGCCCCUGCCCCGCCCCCGGGAGGUCACCCUUUCCCUGACACCCCCCUAGUACAGCGCCUGGCGCAGGGCUGAGCACCCGGCAGCCGUUUCAGACGACCCUCGGUCCCUCGCACAUUCCAGCAAGUAGCCCUGGAAAGGAAGGCGCCCCCGCCAGUCCUUGGCCAUCGUACUUGGUUUUGUGGCCAGAAGGAAUCUCUUAGGGCACUUCCCCCGAACACCAGCCGGGCCAGUGUGCUGGGGUUCGCUGCCCACUCAGUUCCAGGGCCCUCGCUUUAUCCUCUCCCCGCUCGAGUUCAAGAUAGGCCUUCUUCCCGCGCAGACCCGACCAACAGCGCCUUAUUUGGGCAUGCAACCCCACACCGUCAAUUAGAUCAAAACGCUCACACGGAGCUCCUUCCCCCCCCCCCCCCCCACUAAAGUAGGUCAUUCUCUUUAUUUCCCACUUGUAUUAUUUUUGUCUAAUUCUCCUCCUGAAAAAUAAUCAGCUGCAAGGAACUUUGAGCAUCCUAAGAGAAGCCGUUAUUCUUAGGCUUGCUUUUCUGACUUGGAGGGCUUUUCAAGGAGGAGGAGGCAUUUGGCACGUGAUGGUUCUGAAGUCCCUCCCUUUCCAAGAGGGAAAAAAAAAAGAGUUACUUUAAUUAUUUAUUUAUUUAUUGGCUUUGUUUUUCUUCAGGCAAGAAGGCUUUGCCCUGCUCUUAAAGCAUGGUCCCAAUAUCUACUGAAGAAUAAAGUUACGUGCUUUUAACCUGAUUCA
rnacentral:lncRNA from 1 species